rnacentral:rRNA from 1 species
AUUGAGCGCUGGCGGCAUGCCUUACACAUGCAAGUCGAACGGCAGCACGGGAGCAAUCCUAGUGGCGAGUGGCGAACGGGUGAGUAAAGUAUCGGAACGUGCCCAGUCGUGGGGGAUAACGUAGCGAAAGUUACGCUAAUACCGCAUACGAUCUAUGGAUGAAAGCGGGGGAUCGCAAGACCUCGCGCGAUUGGAGCGGCCGAUAUCAGAUUAGGUAGUUGGUGGGGUAAAGGCUCACCAAGCCGACGAUCUGUAGCUGGUCUGAGAGGACGACCAGCCACACUGGGACUGGGACACGGCCCAGACGCCUACGGGAGGCAGCAGUGGGGAAUUUUGGACAAUGGGCGAAAGCCUGAUCCAGCCAUGCCGCGUGCAGGAUGAAGGCCUUCGGGUUGUAAACUGCUUUUGUACGGAUCGAAAAGGUUUGGCCUAAUAAGCUGAGCUCAUGACGGUACCGUAAGAAUAAGCACCGGCUAACUACGUGCCAGCCGCCGCAGUAA